CCCUGGUAGUCCACGCCGUAAACGAUGUCGACUUGGAGGUUGUUCCCUUGAGGAGUGGCUUCCGGAGCUAACGCGUUAAGUCGACCGCCUGGGGAGUACGGCCGCAAGGUUAAAACUCAAAUGAAUUGACGGGGGCCCGCACAAGCGGUGGAGCAUGUGGUUUAAUUCGAUGCAACGCGAAGAACCUUACCUACUCUUGACAUCCAGAGAACUUAGCAGAGAUGCUUUGGUGCCUUCGGGAACUCUGAGACAGGUGCUGCAUGGCUGUCGUCAGCUCGUGUUGUGAAAUGUUGGGUUAAGUCCCGCAACGAGCGCAACCCUUAUCCUUUGUUGCCAGCGGUUCGGCCGGGAACUCAAAGGAGACUGCCAGUGAUAAACUGGAGGAAGGUGGGGAUGACGUCAAGUCAUCAUGGCCCUUACGAGUAGGGCUACACACGUGCUACAAUGGCGCAUACAAAGAGAAGCGACCUCGCGAGAGCAAGCGGACCUCAUAAAGUGCGUCGUAGUCCGGAUCGGAGUCUGCAACUCGACUCCGUGAAGUCGGAAUCGCUAGUAAUCGUAGAUCAGAAUGCUACGGUGAAUACGUUCCCGGGCCUUGUACACACCGCCC
rnacentral:rRNA from 3 species